AAAACAAAAAGACUGGAAUGUUAGUUUUGAAUGAGCAAUUGAAUUGAUAUCCCUCACCCAGGAACUGGCUUUUCAGGUCAUUUCACUAUGGACAUUCCCUUUGCUGAAACCAUAUUUCACUUGUGGUGACUACAUUCCAUUAUCUG